rnacentral:tRNA from 1 species
UAGCUGGUAGUUUAGUGGUAAAACUCCCAGCUUUCAUGCGGGAGACCUAGGUUUGAUUCCUGGCCAAUUCA